rnacentral:rRNA from 1 species
GACGAACGUUGGCGGCGUGCUUAACACAUGCAAGUCGAACGGUGAACCUCUUCGGAGGGGAUCAGUGGCGAACGGGUGAGUAACACGUGGGCAACCUGCCCCCGGCUCUGGGAUAACUCCAAGAAAUUGGGGCUAAUACCGGAUGUUCACCGCUUCCCGCAUGGGUGGUGGUGGAAAGGGUUUCCGGCUGGGGAUGGGCCCGCGGCCUAUCAGCUUGUUGGUGGGGUAGUGGCCUACCAAGGCGACGACGGGUAGCCGGCCUGAGAGGGUGACCGGCCACACUGGGACUGAGACACGGCCCAGACUCCUACGGGAGGCAGCAGUGGGGAAUAUUGCGCAAUGGGCGGAAGCCUGACGCAGCGACGCCGCGUGGGGGAUGACGGCCUUCGGGUUGUAAACCUCUUUCAGCAGGGACGAAGCGCAAGUGACGGUACCUGCAGAAGAAGCACCGGCCAACUACGUG